CGUUGAGCGCCGUGUCUAUGGAACUAAUGGUUAUGUCGUCUUAUCCUGGUUAUCUCGUCGGUAGUUUGAUAGAUUUCGCUUUCUGUUCAGGAUUCUAUAGAAAUUUGGACGCAGCUGAUGUGACUUCGCAACUGCCCAAUGGAUUUCGGUAAUGUAUAACAAAGUAAAUGGCUUAAUUUUGGAUUGCUAGAGUCCUGGACGUUUACCUAGCUGGGUUCCUAAAAGACAACGCAUCCUGAAAUCCACACAUUUCCUAAUCUAGGAAGAGGGCCGGGCCUUCACUUCGGCAAGAGGACCCAGACUCCGAAAACUUGAUACUGAACUAUAUAUUAAAAGAGAUUUAACCUUAAAAAGAGACAUAGAUAUAUUUUUGUGUUUAAUGCUAGGUAUUAAAAUUAAUUCUUAAA